AUUAGAUACCCUGGUAGUCCACGCCGUAAACGAUGUCGAUUUGGAGUUGUGCCCUUGAGGCGUGGCUUCCGGAGCUAACGCGUUAAAUCGACCGCCUGGGGAGUACGGCCGCAAGGUUAAAACUCAAAUGCAUUGACGGGGGCCCGCACAAGCGGUGGAGCAUGUGGUUUAAUUCGAUGCAACGCGAAGAACCUUACCUGGUCUUGACAUCCACAGAACUUUCCAGAGAUGGAUUGGUGCCUUCGGGAACUGUGAGACAGGUGCUGCAUGGCUGUCGUCAGCUCGUGUUGUGAAAUGUUGGGUUAAGUCCCGCAACGAGCGCAACCCUUAUCCUUUGUUGCCAGCGGUCCGGCCGGGAACUCAAAGGAGACUGCCAGUGAUAAACUGGAGGAAGGUGGGGAUGACGUCAAGUCAUCAUGGCCCUUACGACCAGGGCUACACACGUGCUACAAUGGCGCAUACAAAGAGAAGCGACCUCGCGAGAGCAAGCGGACCUCAUAAAGUGCGUCGUAGUCCGGAUUGGAGUCUGCAAC
rnacentral:rRNA from 1 species